rnacentral:rRNA from 1 species
GUCUUGACAUCCACGGAAGUUUUCAGAGAUGAGAAUGUGCCUUCGGGAACCGUGAGACAGGUGCUGCAUGGCUGUCGUCAGCUCGUGUUGUGAAAUGUUGGGUUAAGUCCCGCAACGAGCGCAACCCUUAUCCUUUGUUGCCAGCGAUUAGGUCGGGAACUCAAAGGAGACUGCCAGUGAUAAACUGGAGGAAGGUGGGGAUGACGUCAAGUCAUCAUGGCCCUUACGACCAGGGCUACACACGUGCUACAAUGGCGCAUACAAAGAGAAGCGACCUCGCGAGAGCAAGCGGACCUCAUAAAGUGCGUCGUAGUCCGGAUUGGAGUCUGCAACUCGACUCCAUGAAGUCGGAAUCGCUAGUAAUCGUGGAUCAGAAUGCCACGGUGAAUACGUUCCCGGGCCUUGUACACACCGCCCGUCACACCAUGGGAGUGGGUUGCAAAAGAAGUAGGUAGCUUAACCUUCGGGAGGGCGCUUACCACUUUGUGAUUCAUGACUGGGGUGAAGUCGUAACAAGGUAACCGUAGGGGAACCUGCGGUUGGAUCACCUCCUU